UACGUAGGGGGCUAGCGUUGUCCGGAUUUAUUGGGCGUAAAGAGCGGGUAGGCGGCCAGGUAGGUCUGCUGUGAAAACUCGAGGCUCAACCUCGAGACGUCGGCGGAAACCAUCUGGCUAGAGUCCGGAAGAGGAGAGUGGAAUUCCUGGUGUAGCGGUGAAAUGCGCAGAUAUCAGGAAGAACACCCGUGGCGAAAGCGGCUCUCUGGAACGGUACUGACGCUGAGACGCGAAAGCGUGGGGAGCGAACAGG
rnacentral:rRNA from 1 species